rnacentral:ncRNA from 2 species
GGUUGGACAAACUAACGUUUGAUUCCGAGAAAAAUUUGUUUCUAGGGUGGGAAACU